GGGGAACUCAUGUUACCACCAAGAACUCCCUGUAGUUAAGGAACAGAGAGCAUGGAAAAAAAGGAACACAGGAGCUGAGUAUCGGAGAUUAUCAGAAGCGUUUCGUCUGCGUGGAUUCCCUGUUGAACAGGACAAGGCGUACAGCCAACACUGACAGAGGAGCCGGACGGACGGACGGACGGACGGACGGACUGAACCUGUAUGCAGACGGCGAUGAGCAGGCAGGUCUGCGCCAGGAUGGCGAAGGACUGGUAGUCGGCGAUGUCCUUGCCGUCGUAG